UAGAAAAGUGGACUACGAAUCCACACCAAGAGACUCAAACUCUCCCGUACUUCCAACUAUACUACUUUGUA
rnacentral:tRNA from 1 species